rnacentral:lncRNA from 1 species
UCGGUCCAUUUGACAAUUAAUAAAGAGUGUUCUAUUUUGUUCACCAUUAUGUACUAUAUUAUUUUUUUGUUCCAUUCUAUCUGGAUUUAGGAUAUAUACUUGGGUUUAGGGUUUAGGGGUUAGUGAUUAGGAUUUAGGAUUUCGUGAUUAGCAUUUAGGAUUUAGUAUUUGAAAGGUGGAGGCUCAAGUUUGGGUUUAGUGAUACCAAUUUAGGAUUUAAUAUUCAAAAGUUAUGUAUGAAUUUAACAUUUAAGAGUUGUGUGUUGGGUUAGUCAUAUAUUAUUUCUCAUAUGAAAUGAAACCAUCCUUUUAUUUUUCAUCAUGCACUAAAUUCAUUUCAGUUUCUACACUGUUACACUACAAGAAAACUCAAGCUUAACGAAGAAAAUUAACGAGGAAAAACAAACCUCGUAAAUUUACGUCAACUUUACGAGGAACUUACGUGAAAAAUAG